ensembl:snRNA U6 U6 spliceosomal RNA
CUUAUUUUCGAGGAAACAUGGUAUACUGAAAUUGGAAUGAUACAAAGAUUAGUAUGGCCCCUGUGCAAGGAUAACAUGCAAAUUCAGGAAGUGUUCCGCAUUUUU